UGCGAGUGGUGCCGCGUCACCUGGGUUACGCGCAGAGCCUCUCAGGCCCACGGCUGCGAGGAAGGACGGCUACGGCUGCGGCUACGGUUGCGGCUGCGGCUGCAGAGGAGGCGCCGGGUAGCGGGGCCGUGUCUGAGCGGGGCCGGCCGCGCCUCCUCCGUCGGUGCUGAGCGGGGUUGGCUCUUCUGCCGGCAGCUGGGCGAGGGCUGAUCCCGCGGGCUCAUAGGAAAAAUAAUAAAGAGAUUAUUUCUGUGCGGUGACAGCUGGGCUAAGCCCGAGCUGCGUGACACAGCGCGGCAUUUCUUACAUAAAUAUUUAAUGGAAAUGUAAAGAUGUUUCACUGCAGCCAGGGGUAUUUCCGUUUGCAAAUGUCAAAGUAUUCAGGUUGAAGCUGAAAAGGGUUGCGAGGUGCCGAGAAUAUGAAGGUGGGAGGUAUUGCCGUGUGCUAGAAAGGCAUUUUUACUCCUCUCUGUGCUGUUUAAUCCACUCAUUACCUUUCAAAAAAUUGGCAGAGUAAUAUAACCAUAACUGUCGUGGUCAUUGCAGAGCAUCAGUUCUGUACAGAAUUUAGCAACAUGCCUUUACUGUGCUAAACCAUGUUGUGUGCUAAAUUCAUAUUGCUGCAUGUGUGUACGGAAUGGCCGCUGACUCGGUUUCUUGUCCAAUGCAGGCUGAAAACCUGGCUGUCUGUGGAUGAAAUCCAACUUCCAUUCUGAGCUCCCAGGGAGACCCAGCCUUAGUGUUAGUAAUCACUUACCACUAAUGCUGCCCAAAACAAUUUUUAGAGCUUAAAAUACAGAUUUCAUACAUAAUACAUAGUACAGCACGUUGUCUUGCAAGUACUUGUAAAUUGUGAGCCAGAUAUCUAAUAUACUGUUGGGUAUUAAAGCAUGGAUAUUUUAGCAUCUGAACAGACUCCUGCCCAAAAGCAUUCACAAAUUAAAGACCCGAUCCAGCAUUGUAAAUUGAAAACUUUCAAUGGCUUCUCUGGGAAUUGUGUCCCAGGAAUGCAGUAUCUAGCCUCACAGUUGGAUAAAACAGAUGCAGCACAUUCAGUAACAAGUUGAUAGCAUGUACAGUCAGAAAAAAUAUUGUAUAAGAAUGGAACGUUCGUAAUCAUUUUAUACCCUUUGUAUCUAAGAUACUCUGACUCAUGGUUGCUUCAUUUACUGACUGAAAUAAAAUUUUUGGCUUCUGUUACCUUGGCGGUUGCUGACACAAUUAUGGUACAGCAAGCUGAGGAGUCUUUUGGAUCUUCCAUUUCCUUUACUAAGUUCCAGCUGAAGAAUUUUAAUUAGUAUUUGAGCCAGAAAGAAAAUAGUGUGGCUUAAAAAUCUCAGGUCCAGUUUGAAGGGUCAUCAGUUCUAAGCAGCCUCUUUUUAUUUGUAAACUGAGCAAAUGGCUUACAGAAAAUUUAGAAGACAAAAAUAAAAAGCAUUGGUGUUCAAGUGAAGCCAUUUUUAGUCAAUUUCCGCAGUGGAACUGUAAUUUAUAACACUGCUCCCUUUAUCCAUCUGAAUGUGCCCCAUUCAUUUGUAGUAACAUUGAAUCAAACAAUUCUCUUGUUUUAAGACCACAUCUGUUUUACUGUGCCCCCUGCACCAAUUUUAAUUAUGUGGCAGAUCUGAUUGGAUUCAGCACCUGCAAGUGUUCCCUUUGGGAAUUCCAAUUAGCUUAUAAAACAUCUACUCGAUUGCAUUCUUUAAAUAAAAGCAUUGUUUUAUCCUAACAACAGGAAUAUUAAUGUGUAGAAUAAAAAGGGGUUUUAAUGUGAUAAGCAGCGUAUGUUGUUUGUGUAUGUGUCUUCCAUAAGCUUAGAGGAAAAUGGUAAUCCUGAAACCUAAUUUCUCCAGGCUCAGCAGAUGUCUGUCCUGUGUUAGUCUGUUUCUUCACGAACAGCUGUCUCACAAGUGCCUCCCCUUGUCUCUACAGAAUGUCUUUUGUUUAAUAAUUUCUUGAUAUGUUCUCUCCUGGUCCCACUAAGACAAGCUUUUAAAAAAUCUUUUUUGGUACCUAGAAGUAUUCUCUUUAUAGUUGAAUCGGUUUUGAAGAAUUUAGCUAAAGCUAUAGAACUAGCCUCUCAGCUAGUUUCCUAGUAGCAUUUCUACUCAACUAAGCAAAUGGCUGCAUAUAAUUAACAUUUUCAGUUAUAAUUAACAUUUGCAACAACAAUUUAAUAUUAGCAAAAUUGUUCGUUAUUACAGAUAUGCUUCAGAAUAUGCUUCUGAAAGCACCGUCUGUGAAAGCCAGUAACCUGUCUGGAGCAGGGAUCUUGAGGUCUCGGGGCAUAUGGCAGAAAGCGCAGCCCUCUAGCGGCAGAGGUCACGGGUAGUUUUUGCAAGCUGUGAUUUUAUCACGGGUUACCUAAUAACAUACCCUGAUGUCAGUAUGAAAAAUAAGGUAACCAUGGAACAAGAUCAUCUUUUGUCUCCUCCAAGGAAUUGACUAGGAACAUGGUACAAUCCAUAAAACUCCAGUGGCCAGAUAAUUUUCCCAAAAAGUCAUCUCCACAGUGAUUCUGCUGUACAGGUAAAGGAAAGAUGAAAAAGAAACAUGAACAGAGAAGUCACUUUCUUGGAUCUUGUUGUGAAGCCUGGUCCUCUGCAAUACUAUACCAUUUCCUGUGAACUGAAAGAAGUUAAAUAAUGUGGUAACCUUCACGUAGUUGUAAGGGCAUCUCUACUGAUGCUCUGUCACGUUCUCAAAGAUACUGAUACAGUCUUGGUUGUUCACAUGAAUUAAAACAAGUGAUAACAGGUCAUAACUACAAAUAUAGUCUAAUGACACAGGAUCCUAGGAUUUUUUGAAGCCUUGAAUUUUGCUAUAGUUCUGUUGACAGUGAGAGUUAUUUUAGCAAAUGAAAAGAAUGGAAAGGGAAUAAUAUUUCAGACCAUUAAAGGUAUGUACUAGUAAAAUUACACUAGCAAACUCUGUUAACGACCAACAAAAAUACAUUUUUAUCAGUAUAAUUUGUAAUCAACUUUCCAAAUCAUAAGCUAUUCUGGCAGAAGUAACCUUUUUUGUGAGUAGAAUAUUAGCAUAGCAAAAGGAUUUUUGCCAAUGAAAAGCUAAUUAAAGUCACAUCUGUAAUAUCAUUGCAAUAGCAAAAGCUCCUAAUAAAGAUUUGGACAUCUUUAAUAAUAUUUUUAAAGACUUAGUGUAUAAAAAUGCAUAUGUCAAUUGACUAAAAAUUAGUUUUCAGCACAGAGAGAUUUUAGGCAGUUGUUACUACCUUCAAGAAUACAAGGUUAUGCUGGGAACUUCAGCUGAUUCUUCCCUGUGGUUUAGCAAAUGCCUUAAAGUUUGCUCUUAAGAAAUUAUUUUGCUUCACCAAUAUAAGUUGAUUAUUCCAGUGCUUUAUAGCUCUGUCUGUGCGAAAAUAAUUAUUUCAAAAUAACUGUGGAUUGGAAAUUCUAGUAGAGGAGAGUAAAUACAUAAAACUUAGUAUAAAUUGGCCUGAGUGAUUUGGCGCAUAAUCUCACUGUUUGCCAUAAAAACAUACAUCUGUGUGUCAGCGGCACACAAAGGCUAUCUGGUCUGAGUGAAAUGUAGGGAUUAGACAUAAUGCUGCCUAUUUGAGACAAAGUGUAUUCCUUAGUGCAGUGAGGUUAGAACAGAUAUUCAAUAAGCAGUACAAAUCUGUCUAAAUUAUUGAGUUACCAUUUUGAGAAAAAAGGAGGUAGUGGCGAAUUAUUAAUUACUUUGAGGUUUAUUCAUCUUACCAUUCUGUUGCAAAAUAUAAAUGAGUUUGAUUUAUAAUUCACAAAGACCAAUAUAGUGAAAUUUGUAUAUAUGUUUGUAAUUGGAUGCAUGACUUUAAAUCCAAAAAACAUAGAACAACUGAUAUGCUGUAAAAAAAGUGUAUGUCUAUCUACCUUGUUGAAUUAAUGCUACAUUUCUAUCUAUUUCAAAGGAUGACAGCAGCAUUGCUUCAGUAUUGCAGAUUUAAGCCUCCAAAUCUCAUCCAAGCUUACUAUAAAACAGUAGAAAUCUAUCACAGCCCUGAUUUUUUUUUUGUAUAUGUGAGCUCCUAAGCAUUUUUCAGAUAAACUGUAUAUUAUUUUAAAUGUUCCACAUACAUAUAUUAUUUGUAGAAAAGUUUUUCUUUUUUCUGCUUUUUUUUUUUUCUUUUCUUGAAAACCCUCCAGGCUGACAAUAGAAAUCCAUGGACCUACUGGGUGCAGACAGUUCUGUUGACUUGAAAGGGCUUUAAGUCACUCAAUAUGAAAUAUGUAGGGGGAAAGAUAAGUAGAGAAAGGAAGGAAAAUAUAUAAAAGAUAUUAAGAUAUUAACUGUAAGGCCUUCGUACCAUAAGAGAAAGUAUCUUUAUAUUCUAGUGAUGGGCAAUUUGAAUUAGUUUUGCAUAUAUAUAUUUUCAUAUAGAGGGAGAGAUAUGGAGUGUCUAGGAAUGUAUAAUUUAUCAUUUCUAAUAAAUUAUAUAUAAACAAAAGAACAGCCAAUAUAUAAUUAAAAUUUGGCAGGUACAGAAGUGAAAACUAAAGACAUGCAUUCCAACAAUUCAAAAUCCAAGUUAAGGUGAAAAUCUUUAGAUAGCUGUUUUGCAUACUGAUAACAAAAAAGAUACGAGCAUGAUAUUAUAGAAAGUUGUAUAUGAUAUAUGUAUAUGUACAUAUAUUACCAAAAAAAAAAAAAAAAGUGUGAUUGUUUUUCCUCUCAAUUUUCUAUGGAGUAUUUUGUUUCUUGUAUUUCAGCCAAAUAGGAAGAUUUCCUGUUUCAAAACUUCUAAAUAUUUGUUUUCUUCUUUUUAUUCUUAUUUUAAUUUAGGGAUUUAAGUAGUUUCAACUGGAACAAAGAAAUUCAUAUGUUGAAACAGUAAAAAGAAAAUUACUGCAGAAGUGAUUCAUUGUAAGUGAGAUGAAUGUCCUUACAAAGCACAAAUGAGAAAACACAGAAAAAGGAUCAUUGUGCAUAUUAGCAACACUGCUUAUAGAUUCAUCAUGGCUCACAACAAAGGUAUUUAUAAGUGGACCUCCUGCCUCUGUCACAUGCUGUCAUUGCUUUGGAUUGACUGCUGUUAGAUUUCUGUAAUCCUGAGCCCUGGGAUCUUGUCCUACAUGUUUACCCCACUUGAUAUGCCUGUUAGUAAGUAUUUAAAAUGGAAAUGAACUCUAAGCUUUGUAUCAGUUUAUAACAAAGGAUUUUAAUCCCUUAAAACUCAUAUUUAUAAUUUUUUUAAUAUAGUUUAUAAAAUAAGUGUUCAAUCUGAUAGCUUACAUUUGCCAGUUUUCCCAGUUAAGGUUGGUUACUGCCUAGAAUUUUUUACCUUGUUAGGAUGUCAUGGCAAUGAAAUCAAGGAAGAUGUUCAUGGAUGAAGUAGAAUAACAGCAGCCACAAGGCGCAUUUGUAAUAGAAAGCGUUGACAGCUUUCAUAACUGUAACUUACUUGUAAUAUAGAAAACAAUAAUAUUUUGUGCUGUAGAGGGUUGAUGACAGAUACAGAUAGACUACAACUACUACUUGUGUGUGUAUGUUGAGAUGUUAAAAAGUCCAUUAAAACUAUCACAUCCCAUCCCACCUCAAAGGUCUUUGUUCAAAUCAUAGAAUCAUGUAAUGGUUUGUGUUGGAGGGUACCUUAAAGAUUGUAUAGAUCCAAGUCUCCUGCCAUAGGCAGGGACACCUUCUGAUAGAUCAGGCUAACCAAAGCCCCAUCCAACAUGGUUAUGAACACUUCCAAGGAUGAGGUAUCCACAACAUCUCUGGGCAACCUGUUCCAAGGCCUCAUCAUCCUUGUAAUAAAUAAUUUAUUCCCAUGAUGUAAUCUAAAUCUACCCUCUUUUAUUUUAAAGCCAUUAUCUCUUGGCUUUUCACUCCCAGAUAAAGGGUAUCUCCCUGUCAUUCCCGUUGGCCUCCUUUAAGGACUGGAAGGCCAUCAAAUGGACUCCAAUAGUCUUCUCUAAGCUAAACAACCCCUACUCUCUUAGCCUGUUUUCAUAGAAAUGCUCCAGCCUUCUGAUCAUCUUCUGAGUCUUCUGGACUCAUUUUAACAAUUUGUUUUUUGUACCAGCUCCAAAGCUGAAUGCCAUAGUUCAGGCACAAACUCACAAAAGGGCAGCAGAGAGGAAGAAUCAUCUCCAUUGACCUGGUGGUCACUAUUCAUUUGAUGUAGCCCAGGAAGCAAGUGGCUUUCUUUACUGCAAGCAUACACUGCCUGCUCAUUUUGGCUUUUUCAUCCAACACUGGUAAGUCCUUCUCCACAGGGCUGUUCUCAAUCCAUUCAUCACCCAGCCUUUAUACGUGCUUGGGAUUGCCCUGACUCAGGUGCAGCACCUUGCCCUUGGCCUUCUUGAACUUUAUGAGGUUAGCACAGGCUCAGUUCUCAAGCCUCUAAAGGUCCUCCUAGAUGGCCUCACGUACCUCCAGUGUGUCAGCCACACCAGAUCACUCUCUGCAAACUUACUGAGGGUGCACUCCAUCCUAUUGUCCACGUCACUGACAGAGAUGUUAAGUACUACUGAUCCUAAUACCAACCCUUGAAGGACCAAACAGAUCUACUGCUGGUCUCCACAAAGAUAUCUUGCUGUUGACUGUAACUCUUUGAGUAGGACCCUACCCACCAAGUGGACUACCUGUUAAAUCCACGUUUCUACAGUUUGGAGACAAGGAUGUUAUGUGGGACAGUGUCAAAUGCUUCACACAAGUCAAAUCUUGGUAGAUUACAUCAAUUCUACUUCCCUUAUCCACUAGCACUGUAACUUUGUUUCAUAAGACCACCAAAUUUGUCAGACAUUAUUUGCCUUUAGUGAAGCCAUGGUGGCAUACUAGCCAUUCUCCAGGUGUCUUAGCAUAGUUUCCAGGAUCUGCCCAUAUUUCCUGCCUAAUUAACUGCUCAGUCUAAAAAAUAUUUUUUUUUCCCCAAUGAAUUUACUGUGAUUUUUGACUACUUACUAUUUUAUGAAGGUGUGACAACUGGUAGUACUAAACUAUUGUGUGUGUUAAGGAAAGCAUGCAACAUGGUGAUGCUUGAAAAUGAGUAUGUUAAAGCUUCAUCAAAUGUUAGUAUCUACCUGUAGUAGUAAAAGUGUAAGCAGUAAACACAGGAAAAAAGAAAUUAUUUUGUAUCAGAAUUGGGAAGAUUUGGUUCAGUUAUUCAAAUCCUCAUUCAUGUUAUACAUAUAUGUAGUUAUAUUUAACACUUUUUUCCCCAAAACAAUCAAAACACCAACGUUUUCUUCUGCUUUUCCACAACCUUUUAUACAGAAGAUUUCUUCUACUAAAUUAUAAUGUUGAUGGCUUUAGGAAAUAGUUAUACCUCAAAUGCUUGUAUAUGUCUUGUAUGAAUGGAAAGAUUAUUGUAAUUAUCUUUGGGACUGCAUGGUUGUUUUAUUCAUUAUUACAUCAUUAUACUGUGGAGGAACUGGGUUGUAAUAUAUAUGUCCAAAGAUUAUGCAUCACUUAAAAAUAGUUAAAAGGAAUUUAUCUCUUCAUUACAAUUGUAACAGUAAUGAAAAAUAAAGCUGUCAGCUUUCCAGGAACAUUUUGUUUAUUUAGAACCUCUAAGAUUUCUUAGGCAAGUAUGUCACAUAAUCAAACAGAAAAGCUUGGAAUUAUAGAUUCUGCAACACUGUGUUAUAUUGUGUGGAAGUCAUUUAUGAAAAAGAAUAACUAUUCUCAUAGUAUUCAAUGUCAUCUUAAUAAAACACAUGAUGACAGCAGGCAUUAGUUGAAUUGAAGUUUGAAUAUAUUUUAUUAUGAUUGUUUUUGGCAUUCAGUUUAAUGAAACAAUAUUCUUUGGGAAUCCUGACAUUUGAAAACAAAGCUGAAGAUUGUAAUUAUUUUAUGAAAUUAAACAGUUCUCCUUUGUAUAGUGAAUUACAGUAAGUUUUCUUUAUAAGAUCUUAAAUGAUUGGAAUUUCAUUUUAAUUUGCAAAGCCUUUAUAAUAAAAAUGAUUAUGUAUUAUAAGACAAGUAUAUACAUCUAUGUACAUGCAUGCAUUUUUAUAUAUAUAAAUAAAGCAGAUUCUCAUUAAUGAUGUACGUUUUAUGUGCUUAUAUAUGUAUAUUUAUCCAUGUAUUCAUACAAAAAGUCAUGCAGCAAUGUUGAGCCCUCUAGUGGUAAGAAAAUUCUCAGAAAGGCUUUUAUCAAACUGUAAGUAUAUACUCUUGAAUGGCAGGUGUCCAAACUCAACAGCGCUAUUAUGCCAUCAUAGAUAUUCAGAAUGACUUCCCGUAGUCAAGAUGGGUCUGUAUUUAUUUGAAAAUACAGCUCUUCUAAAAGAAGAGUACUUAUGAUACACUAAUGAUAGUUUGUAAUAUCUGUUUCAGAAAAACCACAACACGUGAAUACUGUCAAACUAAUACUGUCAGUUAAGCAUCUUCACUCUCAACAUCAAAUUAUAUACUUCCACAGGAAGUCACUGAUGUGAACUCAAGAACUGCUUCUGGACUUCAGACUUCAGUCUGGCAAAGGCUGCUGGGGAUGUGGCUGCCCAUGUGUGUGUCAAAUUCAAAUCAUUCUGUAUGGAUUCCAGGAUACCAAGGCUAUUAUCUGCAAGCCUAUUAUCUCCCAAAUGCAUAAAAACACUUUUAUGGCAUAUACAUCAUGGAUUAGAAAUUCCUUGGUAAUAUGUACCUCCAUGUUCAUUCUUGUACUGCUUCAGGAAUCUUACUUGAAAAACAGCACAAAUUAUUGCUAUCCUGCUGCAUCCCAUAUUGCUGAUAAAUUCAAGUAAUGUAAAGAGAGCUGCUUUGUUUUUUGAUUUGUUCUAAUUUGUUAGACCAUAAAGCUGAAAUGUUGAUUUAGCCUUUAACAAUAUCUAAUUAGUAGAAGUUCCUAUACAAAAUUUUUCUUUGUUUUUAGUGGUUUGAGUUACACUGCCUUUUUUAUAAAGUAUUCUGUGAAAAGAUGAAAUGACUUUUUUUAAUCAUUUCUUUUAAAUUUCAUUAUCUUUUUGAUGACAGUAAUUUUCAUUUUUAUUUUUUAAUCUCCUUUUAGCCAACUUUUUCCCACUUUCUUCUUUGCAGCAAUAUAUUCUUGUAACCAUUUAUUUUGAUAACUUUCAAUGGAAAUUACUUUUUCACAAGGACAGUGUAGUCCUCUAAGAUGAAUUGUUUUUUCUUUUUCAAAAGCUGGUCCUCUCCUGCACCCACUAAAAAUUAUAAAAGUAUCCCUCCGGAAUAUAGCAAAAACUCUCAGGAGAACACAAAUUAACAACAAACUGAAACAAAAAUAGUCUACAGAUAGCUUUCAUAAUCUUUGCAGUCUAUACUAGAGGACAGGUGGGCCUCUACAAAACUCAAAGACUCAGGUACUGUAAAGACUCUUAGAAGUACUUUUUAUCCUCUAGCUGAAAAAUACAGAUGGGAGCUCAGGUAAGAGGCAUCUUGAUGAGACUCGUUUACAAGAUUCUUGUUUCCCUAUAUAUCAGUUUGGUAAGCUUUUGCAGUAUUCUUCUAAAACUCUUUUUCUGAGUUUAUAUUCAUAGCAUGAUAUAUCUCAAAAUUGGAGAAAAGAAUUACUGUAUCUUUUUUUGGAGACUUGAUGCUUAGAAUUAGACCUUAAAGCUUCUGCAUGAUGGAGAAAUUUUAUUAAAUAAUCUCCCCUCAGAAUAUUUUUCCUCUAGCGUAUUUAAGCUUUGAAAACUUCAUGAAAGAGCAGGGGGCAAGUGUAUUAGAACUAUCAGGUCAUAGAGGUACUACAGAUACAUGAAUUAUGCAAGUUGAUUAGAAGUUCAGAACUGGAAAAUGUUUCUUGUGAAAGAAUUGUUAAGAAUUACUUAAGGUGAUCAUAGAAAGAUUGCAUUUACUGUCUUUCCUUAAUAAUAUUACAGAUGUACAACAAAGCUAUUAAAAUGUUUUAACAAAUAUUAAUCUUACUUGUUUUACAAUAGUUUUUCAAUCAAUAAAAAAACACAAUUCAUUUUCAGUUAGUCUAGGAGACUAAAUUGAGUGUAAAUGUAGUGAUUUUUUUGUGUGUGACUUGUAUUAAGUCUUUAUCCAUACCAAUGUAGCACUGUAGUACUUAAAACUUUUUUCAUCUACUCUCCAUCAUUAUUUGCAAAUCACUUAAGUAAGAAUAACUGCAGACAAAAGAACUGUAAGAACAAAGAAUUUAGCUCAUUUAGUUAUGAACAGCUAGUUUUGGUAAUAUAUCUUACCUGCAUCAGAGGUUUCAGCUAUUAAAAAUUCCUUUAUUUUUUCUCCUGUCUUUCUUACCGCUUUUCCUUUUUUUUUUUUUUAUAAUUCAUAGAUGGUAGAGUUCUGCAAUGUUCUGCCAGUCCAGCAAUGUGUGCAAUGUCCUAGCAUAAAAAUACAUACUACGGAUAUUCCUUUUCCAAAGUAAAGUUAUUGAUUUCUUUCACACACUUACUGUAGUUUGAUUAAAAAAAAUAUCUUGAGAGACAAACGUUAUCACCUAAACCAGUUAUCUGGCCUCACAGUGAUUUCCAGAUAUCUUCAGCUGUUGAUAAGACAGUUUUGUAAAACUAUCCGAAUUUCCAAAGUGAAAGGUGAAUUGCGUAAUUACUUUAGAGCUGGACAUGUUCAAAAUGCUCAAAAUCUACAUCAUUACUGCAAAUGCUGGAAGAAGCAUCCUCUUUUUUUUGCAUGUGUGUUUGUAUACAGCAAUACCCACAAACAUUAUUGAAUGCAAGAGCCUAAAUCCUGCCUACAUCAUGGUUUAAGAUCUUAUGAUUCUUUAUGAUCUCUGUUUUUUUCCCCUUAAUGGUUGCUACUCAUCUUCUGUGAAAAGCUGUUGAUAGAAAAUAAAAGCAAACUGAUUUUCAUUAAUCUUAUAUUUAUUUUGUUACCAAUUAAUAAAUAUUUUCCCCAACAUGCAAGUAAAUUACCAUUCCAACAUAAACUGGGUUCUGUUGUUUUUUGUUGUUGUUGUUCGUUUGUUUUCCCCUUAUUUUCUUAAAGAUGGAUUUUAACUGGUAGCAAUAAAUUAGUAAAGAAAGUUUUGUGUAGGCACCCUGUGGGUGGCUGCUGCCUGAGUGCUGGUAGCAGCAGGGGUUCCCCAUGGAGAAGGCACAGCCUGUAGACAGCACCUGUCCCAUCAGGAGCAUUUGUAGAACUAUCUGAAUUUCUUAAGUGAAAGUUCAGUGCCAGGGGGACCAGUGCAGCCCCAGCCCCAAGCAGGCCCAGAGUACACCACAUACAGAAAGGUUUGCUUUCUUUAAAAACAUAUAUGUAAAAGGCAAAAACAUGCAAAGCUUUUGUUUUGUCUGUGUAGUUCUGCAAUACAUUCUUUGAAUGAGCAGAUGGGAUCAAAUACCUACUACUCAUUGUUAAAAUACAAAUUUUAAGAGUACAGGGCCUUGUCAUAAUACACACUGUGUUCAAGCUCUGUUCAGGUUUUGUAUUCUGUAUCUUUUUGAGUGUUCUCUCUUGCAGUACUGAGACUGCUUGGAGUAUUUAUAAAAGAAGUAAUUCAAAGUGUAGAAAAGCAUUAUUUUUAAUGUAAGAGCUGCUUUCUACUUCACUUCUGAGGAAAGUAACAGAGUAAGCAAAAACGAUGCUUCACAUUUGCAGAGACAAAAACAGAUUUGGAAUUAAGACAGCCAGUGCUUCCUGGCAUCAGUGUUGGCUUUGUCUAUAGACAGAGAGAAAACAUGCUACAAUGCCAACUCCAAUAUGAAGUUAUAAAGUUAAUUUUAUAUGUAUCUUAACUUUCUCCAAACUCAAGGGUAAAGCCCAAAUUGACUUCACUGGAGUAAGGAUGAAUAAUCAUAGAAUCUUUAAGGUUGGAAAACACCACUAAGAUCAUCUAGUCCAACCAUCAAACUAUCACCACCAUGCUUACUAAACCACAUCCGUGAGUAUCAUCUACGUUUUUCUUGAACACCUCCAUGGAUGGUUACUCCACCAUUUCCCUUGGCAGCCUGUUCCAAUACAUUACCACUCUUUCUGAGAAGAAUUUUUUCCAGAUAUCUAACCUAAACCUCUCCUGGUACAAGCUGAGGCCAUUCUCUCUAGCCAGAAUACUAGUUGCCAGGGAGAAGUAGUAGACUCUCAUCUCACUACAGCUACCUUUCAGGCAGUUUUAGAAAGCAAUACGGUCUCCCCAAGUCUCCUCCAAACUAAACAAUCCCAGUUCCCUCAGCUGUUCUUCCUGGACUUGUGCUCCAGAUCCCUCACAGCUUUGUUGCCAUUCUCUGGAUACGUUCCAGAGCCUCAGAGUCUUUCUUACAGUGAGGGGCCUGAAACUGAACAUAGUGCUUAAGGUGCAGCCUCACUGGUGUUGAGUACAGGGGGACAAUCAUCUCCCCUGCUCCUGCUGGCUACAUUAUUUCUGAUACAACCCAGGAUGCCAUUGGCCUUCUUGGCCACCUGGGCAUGCUCUUGGCUCACAUUCAACUGGCUGUUGACUAAUACCCCAAGAUCCAUUUUUCUCCAUUAAACUUUCCAGACACUGGUAUCUAAGUCUGUAGCACUGCAUGGGGUUGUCAUGAUCAAAGUUGUUAUCCAGCACUUGGUCUUACUGAAGCUCAUACAAUUGGCCUCAGCCCAUCAGUAUGACCUGUGAAACGAAAUAAUGGAACUAAAUUUCAAGCUGGUUUGAUCACAGACUCUUCUUUUUUGUUGUUGUAGCAAAUAUCUCCUAUAUAAGAAUUUUCUCAACAGAAAGAGAAAUUUCUGAUAAUUCAUUAUUUUACAUUUGCAUUUUACUGAGUGCAGGAGAAUUUAUACACUAGUUUAAUUAUUCUGAAUUUCUUUCAGUAGCUUUGACUUCACAGUAUAUUUUGGACUUCACGAACAAAGUUAAAGAUGUUUGUAAUAGUUUAUGCCUUAAAAAAUACAGAAGACAUUUUUUCUAUAAUGACCCCCACCCCCCAGGAACUGUGUACCAAAUUAAGAACCAAUUUAAGAAUAACAUUCAAUCCAGCCACAGAGCUUUAAAAAUUAUACUUUAAAAAGUACUUCAUUUUGAAAACCGCAGCUUAUCAGUCAUCUGUUUUGUCUCAAUGGAAACCUAAAAUGAGUAUGUUCCUAUAACCUUGAAAUCCUCAGGAAAUAGGAGAAAAAGCAGUGCAUACUCCAUUUACCUGAGAAAGUAAAUCCUUCACAUAUCCAAAACUUGUAUUGAUAUGUACAGACAACUUUCAUUUGUGAAAAUUGUGAGGUAAGACCUGAUGUGCACCAUUAUUUAUAUGACAGAAUAUGAGAGUUAACAGAAUGCCUUAAAUACUGGCACUGCCACUUCCUAUCAUUCAAAGUUUUUAUUUGGAAAUUCACUGUGAAUUUAUUUGCUUCCCAUCUUAACAGGAUGACUGUCGCUGGGUUUGAUUAUACCAUGUACCACAUGGUACACAAAUCUUGUGUACCAUAAGUUACAACACAAAAAAUAGUUACAGGCAUUGUUAUAGAUUCCUUAAAGUAGGCCUAGGGGAAGCUGAACUCAGUAGGGUUUUGACUAUUGCUUUUUUAAAAGUUUAAAGAAAAGGGAAAAAAACACAAGUGCAAGCUCCUUAUUUCCUUUUCUCCCCCAUGAGACAAAAUGGUUUGCACCUGUAAACUAAGAACUGAUUUGGUCAAAGGGGUGGGGAACAAAACAUUAACUAGAAAUGAGAAGCUGAGUUAUGAAGGAAUCAGGAGACAGAACACAAAAGUGAAGGGAACUUUGAAAGAUGGGAGUAGGCCAACAGAUCAGUCCUUGAAAUGACUUCUCUUUUUUUUUUUUUAAGUUAGACAAUGACAUAUGAUAGUUUUCUUGAGAAAAGAGGACUGGAACAAUACCUAGACAUGGCUGUUGUAAGCACACAAUUGGGUCUGGACAAAGAUCAGCAAAAUACAUCGCUGCUUCACCACUGGCAGGAGGAUUGCUAUUCAGCAGGAUGCUCACAGCAUCUGGCUUAGUGAGAUGAUUUAGUUCUGAACUAGGAUGCACCGAACAACCCCCUGAAGGACUGUGUAUUCCUCCACUGACUACAUAAGGAGCCCAAGGAAACAAUCUUUAAAUUCUAAUAAAAAAAUCUGGAAAAUGGAAAAUUAAGCUGCACCCCACUUCUCCUUCAGAGGUUCAGCUCUUCUCUUUCUUCCUUCACUGCAGCAGGGAGACAGAAUAAUACACCCUUGUUUUUCAUGGCACAGCAAAUGCUUCUUGAGUCAGUAGCAUUUUACCAACUAGCACAUGCAAAGGAUAUGUCCAGUCUACUUCUUUCACCAAGUUUGUGGGAAAAAUAUAGCAUUUCUUCAGGAUAUCAUAUUAAAACUUGUGUAUGACCACCUGGUGCAAGGCAAUAUUACGCAGAUUACAUAAUAGAAGACGACUUUAAAAAAUGGUGCUUAGCUUUUUCUUUUAGAAAUUUGCCAGCAUUGUUGUUGAUGUGAUUUUGUUCAAUUUUUUUCAGAAUGUGAUUAAAAAUGAACAAACCUUUUACACAGAUGAUUAUUCAGCAUUUUAUGUAUAUAUUGGACAAGAAUGUAUUACAAUUUAACUCAUUUUAGAAAAUGCAGAGGUGGGCAAAUUCUUAAUUUAAUCAACAUCUCAACAUUUGAUAUUGUAAAAUACUCUUAAACAGAACAUAUACUCAAAAAGAUCUUAGGGUGACAUCACAUUUAAAUAAAGCCCAGCUAUGAGAAUAUCAUGUUUCCUUCAGAAAAAUUUUGUAUCUUAGAAAACAAUGAACAACUGUUGGAAUAUUUGGAAAUGCUCAAAAAUAUUUGUCAUAUUUUAUAUAAUCUUUUUUGAGCCUUCAGAUCCCUGAAAAUGUGUAUUCAUUGUUGCUUGAAAUUUUCACAAAUGUCUUAUUUCAUGAGUACAGUGGCCCUCAGAUAUAACCCUCAUCUUAUAAGGAAGACAGAAUCAUGAAGGAGGGUUUUACAAUCUCUAAGUAAUUUAUAGAUUUCAAUGAUAUCAGGCAUGUAAAACCCUAUAUCUGGGAUAUAGGCUAUUUAUUUGUGCUGUCAGAAAGACAUAGUUAUAUAGCUUUCUCAAGCCUAGGAUAAAUCCAAACUUCACAUGUGAUCCUAAGAUAUUAUACAUCUCCAAAACUUUUAACUUUGAUUUAUUCCUUCAAAUUUUUUUAUUUUUUUUUUAAAGAGGGAAUGAGAGAGAGCAAGAGAAUACUGAGAAGACACUUGGUGGGCAAUUAUACAGGAGGAAUCAUUUCCCUUUCAAGCUAUAAGUUGUUUUUCAUUUGACAUACAUUUUCUAGUGUUGGUUAAUGAAAACAAACAAGAAAUAUUGAAGUUAAAUUCAGCAAAAAAAUUAUUAGCCUCAUGAUAUGUUAACAACACAACUAUUUCCAUUACUUUUUCUGGUGGAUUUACUAUAUUUUGUGAACACCACUGUUAUUCUUUGUAUUAGGAAAGGAAUGUCUUAUUGCUAUUUGAGUUGUCUGGGAUAAAAGAAAGUUUGGACAAAAGCUUUUUGUUAUGCUGUAUUUUGUGAAGUGUGUACAUGUAAAACAUUGUCAAAUCUAAAACUUUGUGUAUUUUUUACAUAUUUUGACUGGUAAUACAAAAUAUUUGUGUAUUUUCUGAUUCUGUAUUCAUCCUAAAAAUAAAGUGAAGAAAAAAUUUA
ensembl:lncRNA